UUGGGUGUCGAGAAGGGAGAAGCGGGUCGAGGAUCACAGAGAUCUCGUAAACCAUCUGUGAAAAACCAAUAGGUGCCAAACAAGAAAAGGCAUCCUUCGCUCUAGCUGCCUGACAGUUAGGAAUUGCGAGGCGUCCGGUGGGAAUUGUCUCCGCACCACUCGGGCGACGUAAGGGGGCUCACCGCUGUCGGCGGUCACGGUCGACAACGGAACACUAAACAGUGACUCUGGCCAUGUAUCGCGAAGGGUCGAGCAAAACGCGAUGGCCGAGAACAUGACACUUCGACUGCACCCGGAGAAUGCCCCGAUCUGCACCUAUGGACGCGGGUUCGAUUCCCGCCACCUCCACCA
rnacentral:tmRNA from 1 species